UAACAAGGAUUCCCCUAGUAACGGCGAGUGAAGCGGGAUGAGCUCAAAUUUAAAAUCUGGCAGUCUACGAUUGUCCGAGUUGUAAAUUCGAGAAGCGUUUUCCGCGACGGCCUGUGUUCAAGUCCCUUGGAAUAGGGCGUCAUAGAGGGUGAGAGUCCCGUCCUUGACACAGACAACCGUUGCUAUGUGAUACGCUCUCUAUGAGUCGAGUUGUUUGGGAAUGCAGCUCAAAGUGGGUGGUAAAUUCCAUCUAAAGCUAAAUACUGGCGAGAGACCGAUAGCGAACAAGUACCGUGAGGGAAAGAUGAAAAGCACUUUGGAAAGAGAGUGAAAUAGUACGUGAAAUUGUUGAAAGGGAAACGAUUGAAGUCAGUCGUGCCUGCCGUGUUCAGCCGUCCUCGUGGCGGUGUACUCAUGGUUUGGCAGGUCAGCAUCACUUUGGGUGAGUCGACAAGGGGUUCAGGAAUGUGGCAUCCCCGGAUGUGUUAUAGCCUGGAUUCGCAUCGGCUUGGCUGGAGUGAGGAACGCAGUGCGCCCGCAAGGGUUGGUCUUCGGAUACAU
rnacentral:rRNA from 1 species